rnacentral:rRNA from 1 species
AGUGAACGCUGGCGGUAGGCCUAACACAUGCAAGUCGAACGGCAGCACAGGAGAGCUUGCUUUCUGUGUGGCGAGUGGCGGACGGGUGAGGAAUACAUCGUGAUCUACUUUUUCGUGAGGGAUAACGUAGGGAAACUUACGCUAAUACCGCAUACGACUUACGGGUGAAAGCAGGGGAUCUUCGGACCUUUCGCGAUUGAAUGGGCCGAGGUCGGAUUAGCUAGUUGGCGGGGUAAAGGCCCACCAAGGCGACGAUCCGUAGCUGGUCUGAGAGGAUGAUCAGCCACACUGGAACUGAGACACGGUCCAGACUCCUACGGGAGGCAGCAGUGGGGAAUAUUGGACAAUGGGCGCAAGCCUGAUCCAGCCAUACCGCGUGGGUGAAGAAGGCCUUCGGGUUGUAAAGCCCUUUUGUUGGGAAAGAAAUCCAGCUGGUUAAUACCCGGUUGGGAUGACGGUACCCAAAGAAUAAGCACCGGCUAACUUCGUGCCAGCCGCCGCAGUAA